ACCUUCGUGGUGUAAUGGUCAAGCACGCUUGACGCGUAUUCGAGAGGUCCGUGGUUCGAGUCCCGGCGAAGGCA
rnacentral:tRNA from 1 species